rnacentral:misc_RNA from 1 species
ACACCUCAACUCUCAUGGCUUGCCAUGAUGAGCUUGGACUUUGGGGGUUUUGCUGGCCCUGUGGUCAGCUCCUCCUAAAUGCAUCAGCUUGCCAGUGUUUGGUGGCAUCACGGGUGUGAUAACAUCUACGCUUGUGGUUGCCUGCCAAGUAACCUUCAGCAGUGGAGGUUCACUGGAGCUCACAGAUGGUCUCUCCUCAGCGAGGAUGACUCUUUGAAU